CUUACGAGUAGGGCUACACACGUGCUACAAUGGCAGAUACAGAGGGCAGCGAAGCUGCGAAGUGGAGCGAAUCCCUUAAAGUUUGUCGUAGUCCGGAUUGGAGUCUGCAACUCGACUCCAUGAAGUCGGAAUCGCUAGUAAUCGUGGAUCAGAAUGCCACGGUGAAUACGUUCCCGGGCCUUGUACACACCGCCCGUCACACCAUGGGAGUGGGCUGCACCAGAAGUAGAUAGCUUAACCUUCGGGAGGGCGUUUACCACGGUGUGGUUCAUGACUGGGGUGAAGUCGUAACAAGGUAGCCCUAGGGGAACCUGGGGCUGGAUCACCUCCUUA
rnacentral:ncRNA from 1 species